UGAACGGAGAGUUUGAUCCGCUCAGGAUGAACGCUGGCGGCGUGUUUAACACAUGCAAGUCGAACGAUGAUCCGGUGCUUGCGCCGGGGAUUAGUGGCGAACGGGUGAGUAACACGUGAGUAACCUGCCCUUGACUCUGGGAUAAGCCCGGAAACUGGGUCUAUACCGGAUAUGACUCCUCAUCGCAUGGUGGGGGUGGAAAGCUUUUGUGGUUUUGGAUGGACUCGCGGCCUAUCAGCUUGUUGGUGGGGUAAUGGCCUACCAAGGCGACGACGGGUAGCCGGCCUGGAGACCGGCCACCACUGGGACUGAGACACGGCCCAGACUCCUACGGGAGGCAGCAGUGGGGAAUAUUGCACAAUGGGCGAAAGCCUGAUGCAGCGACGCCGCGUGAGGGAUGACGGCCUUCGGGUUGUAAACUCUUUCAGUAGGGAAGAAGCCCUCUUUGGGGUGACGGUACUUGCAGAAGAAGCGCCGGCUAACUACGUGCCAGCAGCCGCGGUAAUACGUAGGCGCAAGCGUUAUCCGGAAUUAUUGGGCGUAAAGAGCUCGUGCGGUUUGUCGCGUCUGCUGUGAAAGACCGGGGCUCAACCCGGUUCUGCAGUGGGUACGGGCAGACUAGAGUGCAGUAGGGGAGACUGGAAUUCCGGUGUAGCGGUGAAAUGCGCAGAUAUCAGGAGGAACACCGAUGGCGAAGGCAGGUCUCUGGGCUGUAACUGACGCUGAGGAGCGAAAGCAUGGGGAGCGAACAGGAUUAGAUAAGUAGUCCAUGCCGUAAACGUUGGGCACUAGGUGUGGGGACAUUCCACGUUUUCCGCGCCGUAGCUAACGCAUUGUGCCCCGCCCGGGGAGUACGGGCCGCAAGGCUAAAACUCAAAGAAUUGACGGGGCCCGCACAA
rnacentral:rRNA from 1 species